GUGUCAGAACGAACGCUGCGGCGUGCUUAACACAUGCAAGUCGAACGCGAAAGGGACUUCGGUCCUGAGUAAAGUGGCGCACGGGUGAGUAACGCGUAGAUAACCUGUCUUCAUGUCUGGAAUAAUACGCCGAAAGGGGUACUAAUACCGGAUAUUCUUGCUUUUCAUAAGUUAUGCAAGCAAAGGUGGCCUCUGCAUAUGCUACUGCAUGAAGAGGGGUCUGCGUACCAUUAGCUAGUAGGUGGGGUAAUGGCCUACCUAGGCGACGAUGGUUAGCGGGUCUGAGAGGAUGAUCCGCCACACUGGCACUGGAACACGGGCCAGACUCCUACGGGAGGCAGCAGUGAGGAAUAUUGCGCAAUGGGGGAAACCCUGACGCAGCGACGCCGCGUGAGUGAGGAAGGCCUUCGGGUCGUAAAGCUCUGUCAAGAGGAAAGAAGUGUACAAUGGCUAAUACCUGUUGUAUUUGACGGUACCUCUAAAGGAAGCACCGGCUAACUCCGUGCCAGCCGCCGC
rnacentral:rRNA from 1 species